UAAGGUACAAUUAAAAGAUAUGGACUUUGCC
rnacentral:piRNA from 1 species